CACACACACACACACACACACACACACACACACACAAAGUAAGCAAGAGGCAAGGUUUCGGCAGAGUAAAUUGUCAUGUGUGAGACUGUGAUUAAGAUGUUUGCCAGCACACUCAGCCUCAAUGACACUUCAAGUGAUUUUCCACCAGCAUUCAUCCAUCACUGAGAAAAGCAUUCCAGGAAGGAAGCACUUGAAUGGAGUUCAUGUCCGUGGCAGACUGUAGCAGAUGAUGGCUUCAUAGACUCUUGUGUCUUCCCAGGACUCUCUUGUAAAGUGAAUUUCUCUUCCUACUGAACACAAUUCAUUAUGGCAUCAACUAGGUUGGACCCAAGACUUUCAGCCCUAUGGAGAUCUCUAGACCUCUGCUCAGAAGAGGACCCCAAAGCCCCUGC
rnacentral:lncRNA from 1 species